AACAGAGAGGGGCAAUCGUUGCCCAAGUCCUGCUGGCCACACUGUUUUUGGUGCAGACCAUUGUUCUCCUUGCCCACCUGGGCACACUGAGGGAUCCGUGCUGCAGACUUUGGGUGUGGAUGAAGGUGCUGGUGCCUCACUUCCAGGCUCUGGGAGCCUGGAGCUUUUCCUGCAGGAGAUGGCUGAGCCAGCUGAUGCCCUGAGAUUCUCCUGUGCUGGUGGAGUGAGAAGGGCACAGCCUGGAGGUUUGGGGCUGCCACACCAUUGACUUUUCAGCUAUGGCCAUGCUGGAGCCAAGCUGAUGGCCUGGGCCAGCUUUUGCUUUUGCUGUGGCUGGAGGCCCAAGACAGGACACGGAUUCUUCCCUGUCACUCAGCCCCGGGGCAGAGGUCAUGUCCACAUCACCAGGAUGGUGAUAUCCAUGUGAUAUCCAUUGCCUUGUGGUGGUUUGGAAGUGUGGGAGUGCUUGGCUUCCUUUGGGACACUCCUGCCCUGGAAAGGUCAGGCCUCCGGGCUGUGAAGUCAGAGAUGGCCUCAGCAGCCACUCCUGCAGAGAAGUAUUUUCAGGGAAAGUAUUUAAAACACGAGCAGCAGGGGAGUGGGGUGGAAAUCGCAGGCAAAGUGAAAUCCGUAGGUUUUGUGCAUAUGUUGGCUUUAAAGAGUGGGGGACCCCUGCUGAGCUUCUUGGCACGGGAGCCAGGCCGAGGAGGACAUCAGCAGAUGGGUUCAUUACCGAGGCAUUUUCAUUAUCACCCUCAGGGCCAGCCCCUGUGUCCUCCUGGUGGGAGCAUGGGAAGGAACACCGUGUUCCCAGCCUGGGAUGAGAGCACAGGGGGAAGUGCUUGCCUGUGGGACAAAAAAAGCCACGGUGCCUGAGCUCACCACACAAGUUCAUGCGAGGAGCUGCUGGUCCUAAAGCCCUGCCUUGCCUCAGCCUGAAGGUGUGAAAUUCAGAUGUACCAUUAAGGAUCACUAAGUGCCAGUGGGAAUCUGGUUUAUCUCAGAGGAGGCUCCCCUGGGGUGACCCUGUCAGGGCAUUAAUUCCAGUGGAGCUCACUGGAACUUAUGCAGAGACAACAGCAGCAGACAGAACUUCAGCACACAGUAAAUCUUGGAGAAGCCAACAUGAAGUGGCUAUUUCCUGUGCAAGGAUGGAGUUCCUGUCCUGUCCCCAGAACCUGUGGUGGCCCUCCCACGUUUUGACAUGAAGAGGGAGCCUGUCCCAGCCCUCCCCCUCAGGCUCAGGCCUCUGACUGCUACAGUUUGCUUUGCUAAGCACAGGAACAAAAACUGCAACCAUGAAAUUAUUUUAACAAGAC